GUCAGCUCUUUAGAAGAACGUGGGACAGGCUGGCCCUAUAGUUUGACUUCACCACCUUGCGAAUAACAGGAAGAAGAGCAAAAUGUGUUGCCUGCAGAUCUGUGCAAAUCAGUGGACUCUGGCGGUGAGCAGGUGACUCCCUCUUGUGGCACGGAGGACCCAAGAACAAUCUUCCUUCAACUCUGAAAAAUAUAAUGUGGCUUGUUG